AUAAUGAAGCAGUCUCUAUAGCUGUCUAUGAUAGUCAGGUCAAAAGUGGAUUUGGGCAUAGGCUGAAUCCACUCACAAGCAUAUACUCAGCUGAAUCCAUAGCUGUAUACACAGCUAUGGAGCACAUUCAAACACAGACUCACCAAAAGUGGAUUAUAAUAACGGACAGUUUAAGCUUAUUAAUGGCAUUACAAAAUCCACAAUUAAAUUCAAAAACUAACUAUAUUAUAUAUAAAUUAAGGGAGUUGUAUCACUUGCUGUCACAAAACAAGCAAAUAGUCCUCUUCUGGACACCAGCCCACAUUGGUGUGAAUGUUUAGUAUUCAAAGGAUGGUCCUUGUAGAUCAACUUUUAAGUAUUUUUAAAACUGCUGAAGAUAUCCCGCGCUCCCUUCAGCAAAUAUUAAGCAUUCAAGAAUGCU